CAGAAUUUAAUUAAAGCAAGAAUCCUAUGACACACGGUUUGAAAAAAUAAGGAAAGUAAAUAAAUCAAACAACCAGUAAUUUGAAAACCUUGGUCGAAUGAACUUAGUCAGAAAAGGGGGAGGAAAAGGUUUGAUUUGGAAAAUCAGUAACAAUCAAUCAAGCCUUAUUAAAUGGAAAUUGGAAUAAAUUACAAGUUUACAGAAUCCUUUUGAAAGAAAAAGCUUUCAUAUAUAAAGCACACAAGUGUCAAACAAGAAAAAAAAGACUGGCGUAGAAAGUUUCAAAUCAUAAGCAAAAGAUUCCAGUCUAGUCCAAAGUAGAACCCUAGUUCAAACUUCAAAGACCAAAAACUCGCAGGAACCCCAAACCUAGGUUUCAAAUUCCAAUAGGGUACAGAAAGGAGAGGGCAAGCCAUCCAAAUAGAACAGAGAGUCUCAUGAGAAAGCGCACACACACACACACACACACACACAUAUAUAUAUAUAUAUAUAUAAUGGCAUGUUUUAAGCAAUAGAGUAAAAAAACAAAGCAUGUUUGAGAGAAGCUUAGAACUCAAGCAAGUUCAAGAGAGAAGAUAGGUAACACAUAACUUAAGAAAAAGUAGGCGAAAUAAAUUUAGAACUCAAACAGAGGUCCAGCAAGGCAAACAAGGAGCUUAGUAAGACAAUAGUAGAGGAACACAUAGGAUAGACAUGUAAAAGUAUGCUGUAGAAAACUAGUAGAAGAGAUAAUAGAGCACAAGUAGAAGAACAUGCAUAAUAAUGGCAAGACAUAAGAACAUAAGAGAAGAUAUGCACAAACAAAAACACAUAAGUACAAAGCAUAUACAGGCAGAAAGAAGAAGAAGAUGAAACAAAAAUCGUUUUGUGAGUUUUUUGAAAACCCUAGAUUGAACAGACUAAUUUUGAAAUAGAAGAUUGGGGAAAACCAUUAAUACCUCGAGUAUAAAACAGAUCUAUCACAGAUCUAAGAAAAUAAAGGAAGAAAGAACCUUGAACGGCUUUUAGGAUUUCUCAGAAGCCCUAUAGAUGAGAAGGCUUGGAAAGGAUCUGGUCUUGAAGAGAUCUGGACCAUAGCUACGCCUUUCAAGGCUCAAACACGUCCGAACGGAGCUGGAGAAGCCACGUGAACUCAGAUCGACGGAGGAUAUGGAUAGGCGUUGUUAAGGUUGAACCUCAAAAACCUCGAACAACCACGAUUUGGGGUGAAGGGGAGAGAGCACAGGCCAGUCAUGGCAUGAGAAGCCAUGGACGUCGGUGGAAUUUAAUCUGUAAGGGUAUAUGGGCGGCUAGGGUUCAAGUGUUAGAGAGAGUUUGAGAGAACCAGAGGGUUCAAAGGCGGCU
rnacentral:lncRNA from 1 species